rnacentral:rRNA from 1 species
UACGAAGGGGGCUAGCGUUGCUCGGAAUCACUGGGCGUAAAGCGCACGUAGGCGGAUUGUUAAGUCAGGGGUGAAAUCCUGGAGCUCAACUCCAGAACUGCCUUUGAUACUGGCGAUCUUGAGUCCGGGAGAGGUGAGUGGAACUGCGAGUGUAGAGGUGAAAUUCGUAGAUAUUGGGAAGAACACCGGUGGCGAAGGCGGCUCACUGGCUCGUUUCUGACGCUCAGGCGCGACAGCGUGGGGAUCAAACAGG